AAAUCCAAAGAGAAAAAAGUUGGAAAUCUCAAAAUUCGUGUUUGGGUAGGGUUCUCCUUUCUCCUCUCUCCUUACAUCGUUUCCCUCUCUCAUCUGCACAACUAGACUUCUCCAUUUUCAGAUCUGGUUUUCAUAUUUUUAAUUUCUCUUUGGACCAAGAAUUUGUAGACAAGAUGAUGAUUUCAUAUGAUCUUGUCAGCUUCUUCUCAUGGAUUUCACUUUCUAAUUUCUGUUUAGAUACAUUUGCAGACAAGUGCAGUGCAGAUGAAAAGAAAAUGGGUUAUUUUGCUAACAUUUCAGAUGGUGCGUAGCCUUUGCCAUAGUUUUUAGUUUUUCAAGUUCUAUUUGGACAAUACAUUUGCAUCCAAGUUUAAGUCAAUUAGUACAAUGGAUGGGAGUGAAGGUAGAAGAGUUGGGGGUAGAAAUAUAUCCAGGCUUUGCAACUAGUUAGGUAUUAUAUGAUUCAAACGACAUGUUUAUUGGCAUUGGAACAAAUGAUAUGGCAGUUGCAAAAGAUGGUUCAAAGAAGGCAAAUUUCCAACAUAGCAUAGAACUGUUUCUCGUUUGGUUUGCCUCUUCUUCUAUGCUUUGUAUCUCUCGCCCUAUAUGCUGAUAAAACCUCAUUCCAAAGAAAAUUCCAUUUAGAGAUUUAGUUCGGAUUUUAUUACUUUUGAUUUUUUGUUCUAAUAACUUAGGAUUUUAUUACUCUAGUUUUUUCACAGGUUUUAGAUAACGAGGAUGAUGAAGUGGGAGUCAGCAGAACAGCAAGUGCGACUCUGCUAUCUAUCUUAAAACUUCAUCAAACCAAAAAAUUCCUUUGCCGACAAUGAAAAGGGUGUGUCUUCUUUACCAACAACAUCAAAUAUGGCAUGGCAUGCCAAAUUCGUUUCAAGGUUUAUAGGCUGCAGCAUGAACAUUGAAUCUCCCCUGUGACCAGUGGCGGCAGUGGCGGACCUAAAGAGGCGCAAGGAGGUGCAGCUGCACCUCCCCUCUCCGGAAAAUCACUUUGAGAAGCUGGAAAUGCCCCUCUGCUACUACCCACCAACUGUUCGAUUAUUUGCUCCAAAGAAGCUCCAGGCAGCAGCUCCUUUGCGCAGGCUGCAGCGCG